UAAGUGCCGCGUGGGCACGAGCGCGGGCGCCGGCGUCUCUGCAGGUGACCAGGCCACGCGCUCUACGUCUCCUCUUUUUCUUUUUUCCAGAUAAAACCGGGGCUUGAAGAAUUCACUGACUUCCUCACAUCCUCCUGUGUUUUAGUGAGCAGAGCGGGGAGCGAAACACGAAGGCCCCGUUUGCCCUGUCCCGGGCCGUCCCUCCUCCUGGAGAACCCGGAGCCCCGUGCCGGCCGCCUAGGGCUCCCGCAGCAAACCGUGCGGGGCAGCGCGGCCGCGGAAGCCGAGUCGCUCACGGCCACGGGGCUGGAGCUCGGAGACCAGGGUGUCGGCGGGGACGGCUCACCUGCGGCCUCUCGCCUCGGCUUGGGGUUGAGAUUUUUCCCUGUUAUGAAGCACACUGCAACAAGCACCUUACAGUCUUCCAGCCGAGUUUUUGUCUACAAACCGUGUGAUUUCCUCACACCUGCUGACCACCCAGUUCCAGCGGGAACCCCGCCCAACGCGCUCCGAGGGUUUGGAAUAUGUGCGGACAAGUGCUUCCCAGAGGGGGUUCCGAUCCCACCCACCACGAGGGAAGAUGCCCCCCACCCUCACAGACCCUCUUCCAAGACGGAAAAGGCAGCUCCCGGCACAGCCGGCAGCACAUGCUGUUUCUGCUCUACAUCCCCGGCCACGUGCGUGGCUGAGGACAGUGAGGAUUUUCCUCGCGUCUUGGAGUGCUCGCCGGUGACACUGGCCAGUAAUUAACGUCUCUGCGUCACCGAGGCUUUGACACACUCUCCUCUUCAGUGGUCCUGGUCCAGCCAAACUGUGAAGCUGGCGGAAACGCAGGACAAAAUCGAGACGUUAGCUCUUUCCUUUUGAGAAAUUACAGUUUAUGACACGAGAAUUGUUGAGCUCCCAUGAAGGGCGCCCGGGUCUGGGAGCUCGUGCUACAGGCAUCAGCACAGAAGGAAGGGCCGUGACCUCCUAUGCGCUGGGCUCUCAAAGAGUUUUGCGGAUGCACAUGCACUGUGUGAAAUGAGUUCUUGUGUGGGGUUGGGGUGGCCUCGCCCACCGGGGUGCCUCCCACGCCCGUGCCCGCGCGUCCCCGGUGUGGUGGACUGUCCCCGCGCCACCGGAUGGGUCAGCCGCUCGGAGUAGCACGAUACUCCCGGCCCCUUCAGGUGAGGGCCAGGGGUGGCUGGAGCUCGAGGAGCCAGGGGACGCCCUGAUGAGUCUGGGCCGGGGGAGCCCCAGUGUCCUGCUGGGAGGACCGUGGGCAGCAGGUCCCCGAAGGCCGGGACUGCUCUCGGCACCUACCUGACCCGGGAGGGCGGGAGCGUCCUGACACACCCCCACCGGCCUCUCCUCCCGGGAGAGCAGGCGUCCAUAGAGCUCAGCAUCUCGGCAGCUCACUGCGCAACCCUAUGGAAGAGAAGACUGUGCCUCUCUAGGAGCCCCUGUGGGCCUGGGCACUCUCCUGGUCAGCUCAGCUCAGGACGCAGUGCCCUGCAGUGAAGGCCAGCAGGAGACCAGGACCCAGAGCAGGUGACCCCAGGACACCUGUUGCAGGCUCUGGCUUCAGGACGGCCGUGCCGACCCCGUACCCGAGAGGCUGUUUCUUCUGCUGCACAAGAGAGACCACGGCAGGAGUCAUGGGCCACAGUGAGGACUGGACGGGCGGCCCAGGCAGAGAUGAACCUGGGACCUAGUGCUUAGGAAGGACUUCAUAAGUGCCACACGGCAGGGCAAUUGUAGGUGACCUAUCGCUCAUAAAACGAAUGCAAAUUCGGAACACAGAGGCAGGGGUUCUUAGAACUCAGGGUGUCUCCCCCAAGCAGAAAGCUCGUCCACUCCACGAGCAGGGUCUCUGCUCUGUGUGUUCAAUCCCUGCUUGUUUGGGCCCAAAUGUGACUGGAGGUGGCUGGUCAGUCUUUCUCUUCAGAAGACCAGCGGCUCCAGGGCUCAGCACUUGCGGAGGGAGCGUCUGCCGUCACCCAGGGAAGCCAGGGCGCAGACACUCGGUUGUCCAGGAAUCAGUGACGUGUGUUGCCUGUUCUUGGAAUCCAGGGAGCAGAAAGUCCCUAGUGGGUUCCCAGAACCUUCCUGCCCUCCUAUCCCACUCGAGCAGGGAAGUUCCGGAUUCUGUGGUGGAAAUGAUUCAUCUGCUGGACCGAGGGCUCUAGACCCAGCUUCUCAAUUGGAGAGCAGUGAGUGCUUGCACAUCUGGGAAGCCUUAGGGUCCCAGCUCACUUGGCCAGGCUCUGUGUUUGGACACAGAACCACAUUUCGGCUGAGCUCGUGAUCCCAGGGGGACUGAGCAUGUGUCUCUGGGCGGCGGGAGUUACCCGCUCCCCUGGCUUCGCAGGAUCAAGACGCUCCUUACGCAAUGAGUGUUUCCCACACUUGCCAGAUUACCAGAUUUCUGCUUAGAACAGCAGUGCAGGGGCUGCCUGGAGUCUCUGGGGCGGUGGGUCGGUGUGUGCCUGGGAACAGAAGCAGCCGUGCAACGAGCUUGUUCACAAAUUCUCACUGUCAGGGCAGAAUGGCCAGGGGCCAGGGCGACAGCAGGACCUUGAGGCCAGCCCCACCUCCUGGCCCGCCCAUCACAUGGCUGCACAGGCCACACUCCUCCAGGAAACUGACUCUGGCCUCUGACCCCAGACCCUCACCUUCCCCUUGCCCCCGGGACUCAGUUACUAGGCCACCCAGCCUGGUACUGGCGCAUCCACGGGGUGUGGCCCUGUGGUGGACACCUGGGCUGGCAGCGGCCUCAAGGAGCUCUGUGUGACCAGGACUGCAGCUCGAAAGCUACUUCCCCGAGACAGGUCAGCAUGUGCAAAAGCCCAGCAUCUGUGAGUCUGAGCACUUAGUUCAGCCCUUGACUCUGUCCCAAGACCAAGAUGACAGCAGCCGGUCCCUGUCCGCCUGUGGGCACAGCGCUCACUGCCAGGGCCCCUCAGAGCUGGCUCCCGGCUCAGGGGCCUGCUCCAGCUGCCGCCGGGUGUGCGGCUCCUGGAGCCCCCGGCCGUGGAGGGCAGCCGGUCCCUGCACUGGGGCAGCUUGGCAGGACAGGUGCUGAGAACAUGGGGGGCGGGGGGCGAGGACUCAGGUAUCAGAGGCUGAAGGGGCCUCAGGGUGACCGUGGGCAGGAGCCGGAGAACCGGGGACAGCAGGUGGUGUCUUACAGAGGUGGACCUCACGACCCAAAGUCUGAGAUGACGGAUUUGAAUCCAAACCAACCGGAAUCAAUGGCUCCGCGAGUAAAUAAAGGCCUGGGAGCAGCGCGUGCCCUCCGCCGUCUUCCUGCGGAUGCUCUGCCCUGGGGAGUGAGCACGGCUCCUCCCCGACAUGGCUGCUUCGCUACCUCCCGGCAAGGGGGUCGCUCUCGGUGGAGACCUGAGCCCUCCGCUGGGCAGUCAGGUUCCCUUGGAGGAGCAGGGCCCUUCUGGGUGCUCCGUCAGCAGACGGGCUGUGCCGUGGCCGGGAGGCAGCCUGGGGAGUGGGGUCCCACGUCCAGAACCGCACACCCACACGUGUCCUCUGUAGGGUAGACAGACACUCUGCGAGGGGCUCGGAGCGGCCCCAGCCCCGGCCCCGGCCACGGUGUGCACUGACGGGAGGCAGGGUGGCCUCACAGCACCAGGGAAUGGGCCGCGGGCUCCUGUCGCGUGCGAGCGCGCUCUGGCUCAGCUUGGGCAGCAGGGCGGUACCCUAACCGUAUUUGCACUGGGCUGUCCCUCAAAUGAGUUUUCAUCCCUGAGCGGAGCUGCCCAGCGGCACUGGGAGAGCACGAAUGUGCGGGGACGAGGGAGUGAGGUCUUGCUCCAGAUGAAUGAUCUGUAAAGACUAUUUUUGGCCCAGAAUCAGAGUCAGCUGCAUUCAAAAUCAGCCUGAGGCCUCUUUGUCUAAAACACACUUCACUGGUGUCCAAACCAACCAGGUCCAACGGACGAGUCUCUUAUCGGGUCUUUCCACCGGAGGAGGGACCUCGCAGUGCCCGACGCAGCUUCUCAGGAAGCAGGACACCAACAGAAGCCGUCUGACCCAGGGGUCCCGGGACCCAGGUCUGUGCUGCACAGGGAGCCCGGAGCCAGCUCUCGGCAGAGGCAGGCAGGAGGGCACACACGCUUGCGGCGUCGCAGGCCUGGUCGGGGCUGCCCGGGGCCUCAAAUGCACGUCCUGCGAGUGAGCGGUCAGAAGGGCAGAUUGAGACGGUGGUUCCUCUCCUUACUCCUUCCACUCGAACACAGACACUAACGGGGUGGCUGCAGGCUUGAGGUCAGACAGCAGAAGCAGCAGUCCGGGGUGCGGCUGAGUAACCCCAUCUGAGGUAUCAAGAUUUGGGCAGAGACCCCUGCCAGUUAGGACUCAAGGAUGGUGUGAAAACACCAACUAAUUUCACUCUGGAUUAAAGGACCCUCAGACCGUCCACCUUCAAUCUCAGAAGGGUUAAAUGUGCCGUAGAACGUUUCUCUCGUUGGGUGUUGUCGUGUUCAGGGCUCAUAAAGCAGAUCAGACAACGUUCUUCCGAAGCUGACAAUAGCGGCUCCUUCCCGUGCUCUCCGCCUGCGAGCUCUCGGCAGCCUGGGGGAACCUCGAAGUGUCCUGAACACACAGCCCUGGGCCAGGCCAGAGGCACUCAUCCGCUUCUCCCCAGGAAGCAGCCUCCGUGUGUCCACCUGACAUGGGUAAUAUCGAGGCCAGAGCCAAUUCCAGUUACUGCCAGCAGCGCUGGGAGCCGGGCCUCAAGUGUGUCAUUGCCGAGCCUGGUAAAGCUCACGGCCACGGCAGCAGCCACGGCGCCGCGCUCGGCAUUUCUGUGUGGAUAGAACGCAGACAUGCACACCCACAGGCUUCCUUUCCCAGCACGCCGAUCCCCUAGCCACAGCAACCACCGCAAACCUGGGGACAUCAGGGGACACAGUAUUCUCACCGUGCUGUGCAGGGGACGUCCUGACGCCCAGGGGCAGAGAAGUUAUCCGCUGUGGCCAGUGGUCAGCCAGGAUCCCCGAGAGAGGGAGGCGGGAAGACAAGCCCCGACUUGAGUUGUGACCACUUGUCCUUUGGACAUGACCAGAUGUGACCAGACGCUUAGCCUUGCUGUCCUCCUGUUUGCCCUGUGCAGGUGAGGGAGCGGGACACCGGGUGCUGUGGCUGAGACCGCAGAGACGUGAGCGUGUGAGGGGCACUGCACCACUCCGGUCGAGCCCAGACGCUGAACCUCUGAUUUCACGCUGGGCACCGUGCAGAGCCCCACACCAGUAAGAGUGGAGGCUCACAGACGUUUCUAGGAGGUACAGGUCAGGAGCUAUGGAUAAUCAGUUCUUUUCCCACGACCCAGCAUGUACUCAUCCUCCCUUUUUUGGGGAACCCAUGGCGCCCUUUCUUACGCCCAAGUUCACACUUCCAUGGAACACGGGACCUUCCGUCAGGCUGCACCUUCCGGCACGAAGCGGGACACACGGCAUGGGUGUCCCUUCUGACCUUGGGCACACAUGGACACCGUGUAGCUUAAAACCCGGAGCUGCGGUGAAGGGAUGUGCUGAGUCCGAGCGGGAGAAACCGCACGUCAGCUGCUGCCACGACGCAGGACGGGGCCACCAGUGGACGAGCAGGGCCCACUGAUUCCUUGCGCCAGGCCUGGUGGGUCUGGGGCCGCCCUUUCUCCACCGCUGCCGCCGCACAGCUGCCGGUCCCAGAGGCUGCUCGCCUGACAGGAAUGGCAUCUGGUUCCAAAACGGAACUUUCUUGCUGACUCUUUCCUCAAAAACAUCCUCGCCCUGCGUCCAUCACCAUCCGUCCGUCACUGCCCGUCACCGCCUUCACCGCCACGGUCCCCAGGAGGGUCUAGGGGCCCCCCACCCACUUGCCCCCUGACGGCCCUGCCGGCCCCUGACCACACUUCUGCUCCGGCCUGAGAGGAUCCAACCCAGGCCCCAGGUCUACCAACCCCUGUCCUGCUGGAGGCUCCCCCAACGGACACAGACUACAGGGCCUGAUGUCUGGUGCUUCCACUGGCCUUCACCGUUCCCUGCUUAGGCGUCCACCACCACUCUGCACCGUCCAAAUCCAU